UCGAGAAUCAUUCGCAAUGGGCGAAAGCCUGACGGUGCGACGCCGCGUGGAGGAUGAAGGUCCUAGGAUUGUAAACUCCUGUCAUCAGGGAGUAAAGCUCAGGUGUUAAUAGCGCCUUGAGCCUGAUAGUACCUGAAGAGGAAGGGGCGGCUAACUCCGUGCCAGCAGCCGCGGUAACACGGAGGCCUCAAGCGUUGUUCGGAAUUACGUGGCGUAAAGGGUGCGUAGGCGGCGAGGUAAGUCAGAUGUGAAAGCCCGGGGCUCAACCCCGGAAUUGCAUCCGAUACUGCCUUGCUUGAGGAUUGGAGAGGAGACUGGAAUUCACGGUGUAGCAGUGAAAUGCGUGGAUAUCGUGAGGAAGGCCAAUGGCGAAGGCAGGUCUCUGGACAAUUCCUGACGCUCAUGCACGAAGGCCAGGGGAGCAAAAA
rnacentral:rRNA from 1 species